UGCACGAGUUCAGGAUUUCAGUCCACUUCAUAUGAGGAACUGCUGCAUUCCACUGCUGGAGUACAAAUAACAGCAAGCAAAGGUGCUGCAGCACCAGGAGGGAUUCCCCAAGUACCUGGGUUGUAAAACGCAAUGAUUUUCUGCUGCUCAGCCACCAGCCUCUGCAGCUGCUCCAUCUGCAGCCUCAGUGCUCCGUCCUGCUGCCCUGCA
rnacentral:lncRNA from 1 species